GCUUGAAAGGUAUGGUUGUUCUCUUUUUCCCUGUCGUCCUUAUCGAGAAUUUCCCCCUUUUUCCACUCCGCCCGAAGAUUACCAUAGAGGCUUGACAACCAUCCCUGCUUGCACUUUUAUAAAAAGAUCGAUAGUGGUUGUGAAGCUUGACUAAUAGACAUGGUUCCCCUAAAAGGAGAAUGUUUGCCCUGUGUUCCUUGGUAGCACAAACAAGCUCAUGUGUUCUACAUCCUGUAACUCAAGGUUGAAACUUGCUGUUCUUGAAUCUCACAAAUUUAUUAGGCAUUUCAUAUUAGUCAUAUGACUUGUGCUAACAUGAUUACUGGUUACUCUAGGAUGAUGAUAACCCUUUGUUGUCAAAUGCUUCUAUGAUGUCGUUAGAACUUUUCAAAUUCUGAUUUCUAUAGUUAUUCUACCAUCUAUUGUUGUGAGAAAUGGGACUUGAGGCUCACUGCAUUAAACAUGGCAAGUGGCCAACAUGUUUUAACAAGGUGUUGGCAACAUAUCGGGGAUGUCACUAACAUUGAAGAGUUCUCUUACUACUUUGGAGCUAUUAAUGCAAGGUAAACAAAUGGAUAGGAAAGGUGCCUGAAGGCUGAAAUGAGACAUGUUACAUGUAAUUUAUUUUUUCCGACGUAAGGAUAAUCAUGUAAUUUCCCUUUUCCAAUUUUUGUUUUUGCUUGCUGCGUGUUUCCAAGGAUUCAUGCGGUGGAUCUAAAAUCUUCCACAUCUUUUGUUCUCCAAAUCCUACUUCUAUAUUCCAUGGAAAACAGCAGUCUCAUUUCAUCCCAAUUUCAGAGAGGUUUGCUCCUUCCAACAACAAGAAGGAAAAGGUACACCACCUUAUUUCCCCUCUUUUCUUUUCAUGAAUAUUGUGGGUUUUCUUUUCAAUCUCAACUGUUGCUUCUUAGAUUUUUCAAUCUCUUCAUUGAUAUUGUGGGAAGUUUCUUCUUAGAUUUGCAAAACUUUCUUACAGGGGGUGCGUUUUUGGCUUGAUUCGUUGGGUUUAUGUGUUCUUUAAUGUUCUCUUUGCUAAUCUAAAUUAGCACCUUCUACAUAAAGUCAAUUUUUAUUUGGUUUGUUUAUUAAUUUAUGUGUGAACAUUGCUUGCUGGAACGUGAGCUACUAUUUGUUGGGAAUUUUGAUGAACAAUAGGAAAACAAAAGGUCCUGCUUUCUUUCGUAGCCAACUUUGCUUGCUUUCAUGAUCUUUUCCUCUAAUAUUGAAACAGCUGGGAAAGCAUUUGGUUGCCAUGUACUUAGUUUACUGCCUUCAAUUAUUCUCAUCUAUUGCUCUUAUUUCUCCUCUUUAAUUUGCUAUAUAUUUAAAAUAUACUUCAAAAGGUCUUAUAAACUACAAUAAUUAACAAUUUCAAAUAGAACGUAAGUAUGUAUGUGAGUACAUCUUAUUUGUUUCUUCUCGCAUAUGUUACUUGUAAUUUACUUUCCUUCUCUACCUAUUGGUUAAAUUUUACUUUCUCUUAUUUAUGUGAUCUGUGGAUGUUUUCAUAUGCAUAAUAAAUCUUUACAGCAAUAACAUCAAUUUUCCAAAACAGAUAGAUAAGUAUUGCAAAAGAAAAUGAUCAAUAUACUAUAGCUAAGGACAAAGAGAUUUUGCAAUUCUUUAUUUUUGUCUUUUAAAUGAAUUGAUCUUUAAUUUAAGUCAAUAGCAUAAAAACUUAUACCUACAUAACAUAAGUUAGUUUGUUGGAUCUGGAUCAAUUUGUUGUCAUUUAAGUGCAAUGACUGAAGCUCGAUCAAUUGGCCCAAAGAACUUCGAACUCAGCCAGACAGAUCAUUGUUCCCAAACUCUAAAGCUUUCAAGUAAGAACACUCCUCUAUCCUUGUAGAGAUACUUCCUGUUAGCUUAUUGUCUGAUAGAUUAAUGACUUCAAGAAGAGUUACCUUUAGUAUUUCUAAUUCAUAAACAAAACUUCUAAUCUUUGUUUUUAACUGUAGUAGUGUAAGUUUGGUUGCACUUUCAUUACUAUAACAUCUUACUUUUUUUGGUCUACUAUGAGAGCAUGUAUCGCAAGGUGAGAGAAAUUUCGACUCUCAUUUACUUUUAGUAUUUUCUAAUUCAAGAACAAGACUUCCAACAUUUAGUUUUAACUAGAGUAACAGUUUUAUUAGCUUUAACUAGAGUCAUUGCUUCAUGCAUGUGUAAAGCACAAUGCAGUUUCAAGAUUCAAUACUCUAAAUCAAGAAAUAGGAAGCUGGUAAAGAUUAGCUUAAAUGUUCAUUCCACAUCUAUGAAUGCUCUACGAUAUGCUAUCCUAAUUUCUAUGUUCUAUCAAUUGGUUUAAAAUUGUAUAUAUGUGUCAUGAUAUCUGAUAAAGAGAGAACACUAACAGAGACUGAGCACUUAGCAUCUCAUCGUACAAAGUACAAUUAAUUGCAUGCACGGAGUCUACUUGGAAUAUUUUUUAUCUGGUAUAAGAAUGACCAAGAUGCCCUAGAAAAAUAUUGGUGAAGCAAUAUGUUCUGUUAUUAGUGGACUGAAGUCUUUGGCCUUAAUGAAAUGGUGAAGCAUUGUUCACCAGUGUAGUGUGCACUGCAGACAAUGUGGAGUUGACUUUUUGACAAGUACAUGUAUUAGGUCUUAACCAUAAAACAGCCUCUCCUUUUAGUUUAUGCCCAUAUAUGUAUUUCUAUUCACUUCAUUUCUUCUUUUUGUCUCUUC